UUUCAGACGACCAAGGGUUCUUGUGGACAGUGAUAAUCCAGAUUUGCAUCAGCUUGAUAUCUCGACAGCAGAAUUUAUCUUGCAAGCGAAUACAGGUACUCCACAACUUAGAGAAACAUACUAUUCCCAAGAAAGUGUCAUUGCAUGGAUGAAUCCUGGUCCGAGCGACGUAAGUUCGAAAUUCAAAGCUGCACCCGGACAAGUAUUGCAGUCUACGUUCAUCACCAGGCAAGGAACAACCGAAACAUCACCAGGAAAAACUAUUUCUUCAUUUCAAAGACCGUCGACAUCUAAAGCGAUCGCUAUUCCUGUUCAAGAUGCAUCAGCAGCAACCAGUGAAGUUCCUACUUCAAU